UCCUACGGGAGGCAGCAGUGGGGAAUAUUGCACAAUGGGCGCAAGCCUGAUGCAGCAACGCCGCGUGAGGGACGAAGGCCUUCGGGUUGUAAACCUCUUUUAGUAGGGAAGAAGCGACUGGGUUUUCCUGGGAGUGACGGUACCUGCAGAAAAAGCACCGGCUAACUACGUGCCAGCAGCCGCGGUAAUACGUAGGGUGCAAGCGUUGUCCGGAAUUAUUGGGCAUAAAGAGCUCGUAGGCGGUUUGUCGCGUCUGCUGUGAAAACCCGAGGCUCAACCUCGGGCCUGCAGUGGGUACGGGCAGACUAGAGUGCGGUAGGGGAGAUUGGAAUUCCUGGUGUAGCGGUGGAAUGCGCAGAUAUCAGGAGGAACACCAAUGGCGAAGGCAGAUCUCUGGGCCGUAACUGACGCUGAGGAGCGAAAGCAUGGGGAGCGAACAGGAUUAGAUACCCUGGUAGUCCAUGCCGUAAACGUUGGGAACUAGAUGUGGGGACCAUUCCACGGUCUCCGUGUCGCAGCUAACGCAUUAAGUUCCCCGCCUGGGGAGUACGGCCGCAAGGCUAAAACUCAAAGGAAUUGACGGGGGCCCGCACAAGCGGCGGAGCAUGCGGAUUAAUUCGAUGCAACGCGAAGAACCUUACCAAGGCUUGACAUAUACCGGAAACGGCUGGAAACAGUCGCCCCGCAAGGUCGGUAUACAGGUGGUGCAUGGUUGUCGUCAGCUCGUGUCGUGAGAUGUUGGGUUAAGUCCCGCAACGAGCGCAACCCUCGUCCUAUGUUGCCAACACGUAAUGGUGGGAACUCAUGGGAUACUGCCGGGGUCAACUCGGAGGAAGGUGGGGAUGACGUCAAAUCAUCAUGCCCCUUAUGUCUUGGGCUUCACGCAUGCUACAAUGGCCGGUACAAAGGGCUGCGAUACCGCAAGGUGGAGCGAAUCCCAAAAAGCCGGUCUCAGUUCGGAUUGAGGUCUGCAACUCGACCUCAUGAAGUCGGAGUCGCUAGUAAUCGCAGAUCAGCAACGCUGCGGUGAAUACGUUCCCGGGCCUUGUACACACCGCC
rnacentral:rRNA from 1 species